rnacentral:rRNA from 1 species
UACAGAGGGGGCAAGCGUUAUUCGGAAUUAUUGGGCGUAAAGGGCGCGUAGGCGGCUUGGCAAGUGGAAGGUGAAAUCCCUCGGCUUAACCGAGGAACUGCCCUCCAAACUGCUUCGCUUGAGACCGGGAGAGGUGAGUGGAAUUCCCAGUGUAGCGGUGAAAUGCGUAGAUAUUGGGAGGAACACCAGUGGCGAAGGCCGCUCACUGGACCGGUACCGGCGCUGAUUCCCCAAAGCGUGGGGAGCAAACGGG